rnacentral:rRNA from 1 species
AUUGAACGCUGGCGGCAUGCCUUACACAUGCAAGUCGAACGGCAGCACGGGAGCAAUCCUGGUGGCGAGUGGCGAACGGGUGAGUAAUAUAUCGGAACGUGCCCAAUCGUGGGGGAUAACGUAGCGAAAGCUACGCUAAUACCGCAUACGAUCUACGGAUGAAAGCGGGGGAUCGCAAGACCUCGCGCGAUUGGAGCGGCCGAUAUCAGAUUAGCUAGUUGGUGGGGUAAAGGCCCACCAAGGCGACGAUCUGUAGCUGGUCUGAGAGGACGACCAGCCACACUGGAACUGAGACACGGUCCAGACUCCUACGGGAGGCAGCAGUGGGGAAUUUUGGACAAUGGGCGCAAGCCUGAUCCAGCAAUGCCGCGUGCAGGAUGAAGGCCUUCGGGUUGUAAACUGCUUUUGUACGGAGCGAAACGGUUUCCACUAAUACUGGGGGCUAAUGACGGUACCGUAAGAAUAAGCACCGGCUAACUACGUGCCAGCCGCCGCGGUAA